rnacentral:rRNA from 2 species
GGCUCUUGGGUUGUAAACCUCUUUUCUCAGGGAAUAAAAAAAUGAAGGUACCUGAGGAAUAAGCAUCGGCUAACUCCGUGCCAGCAGCCGCGGUAAUACGGAGGAUGCAAGCGUUAUCCGGAAUGAUUGGGCGUAAAGGGUCCGCAGGUGGCAUUGUAAGUCUGCUGUCAAAGAAUGAGGCUCAACCUCAUCAAGGCAGUGGAAACUACAAAGCUAGAGUACGGUCGGGGUAGAAGGAAUUCCUGGUGUAGCGGUGAAAUGCGUAGAGAUCAGGAAGAACACCGGUGGCGAAAGCGUUCUGCUAGACCUGUACUGACACUGAGGGACGAAAGCUAGGGGAGCGAAUGGGAUUAGAUACCCCAGUAGUCCUAGCCGUAAACGAUGGAUACUAGGCGUGGCUUGUAUCGACCCGAGCCGUGCCGGAGCCAACGCGUUAAGUAUCCCGCCUGGGGAGUACGCGCGCAAGUGUGAAACUCAAAGGAAUUGACGGGGGCCCGCACAAGCGGUGGAGUAUGUGGUUUAAUUGGAAGCAUCGCUAAGAACCUUACCAAGUCUUAACGGGUCAAGAAUUUUCUUGAAAGGGAAGAGUGCCUUCGGGAGCGCGAACACAGGUGGUGCAUGGCUGUCGUCAGCUCGUGUCGUGAGAUGUUGGGUUAAGUCCCGCAACGAGCGCAACCCUCGUUUUUAGUUGCCAGCAUUAAGUUGGGCACUCUAGAGAGACUGCCGGUGACAAACCGGAGGAAGGUGGGGAUGACGUCAAGUCAGCAUGCCCCUUACGUCUUGGGCUACACACGUACUACAAUGCUACGGACAGAGGGCAGCUAAACAGCGAUGUCAAGCAAAUCCCGUAAACCGUAGCUCAGUUCAGAUCGCAGGCUGCAACUCGCCUGCGUGAAGGAGGAAUCGCUAGUAAUUGCAGGUCAGCAUACUGCAGUGAAUUCGUUCCCGGGCCUUGUACACACCGCCCGUCACACCAUGGAAGCUGGCAACGCCCGAAGUCAUUACU